UAGGGAAAAAAAGGGGCUGACAAGGUCCUGGAUAUCCUCAGGAGUGAAUUCAACCGCACUAUUCAGCUACUUGGAGUCCCGGAUGCCAAUAAAUUAUGCACUGACUUUGUCGUUCGCGAGCCCUACUACUCUGAACCACUCCCGCGCAACUGCCAACCGACACAUCUCUGGAGUGAUUUUGUCCCGCACAAGGUUACGAAGUAGUAUUGACAAGUAUUCACGACACUAUCACUCCCGUAGCAUGAGACCAUGCUUUGACACUUCCAUUCUUCAUUUUCAUUGUCAGCGAAACAAUAAAAGUGAUUCACUCUUUUUA